UACAGAGGCCUCGAGCGUUAGGCGGAAUCACUGGGCUUAAAGCGUGUGUAGGCGGUGUGCUAAGUACCUUGUGAAAUCCCACAGCUCAACUGUGGAAUUGCUUGGUAUACUGGCAUUCUUGAGCCAUCUAGGGGCGAGCGGAACAAAUGGUGGAGCGGUGAAAUGCGUAGAUAUCAUUUGGAACGCCAACGGUGAAAACAGCUCGCUGGGGAUGUGCUGACGCUGAGACACGAAAGCCAGGGGAGCAAACGGG
rnacentral:rRNA from 1 species